GUGAGGAAUUUUCCGCAAUGGGCGAAAGCCUGACGGAGCAAUGCCGCGUGAAGGAUGAAGGCCUAUGGGUUGUAAACUUCUUUUCUCAGAAAAGAAUUAUGACGGUAUCUGAGGAAUAAGCAUCGGCUAACUCUGUGCCAGCAGCCGCGGUAAGACAGAGGAUGCAAGCGUUAUCCGGAAUGAUUGGGCGUAAAGCGUCUGUAGGUUGUGUAAAAAGUAUUCUGUCAAAGAUUAGGGCUUAACCCUAGAUAGGCAGAAUAAACUUUUAAGCUAGAGUUUGGUAGAGGCAGAGGGAAUUCCCGGUGGAGCGGUGAAAUGCGUAGAUAUCGGGAGGAACACCAAAGGCGAAGGCACUCUGCUGGGCCAAUACUAACACUGAGAGACGAAAGCGAGGGGAGCAAAUGGGAUUAGAAACCCCAGUAGUCC
rnacentral:rRNA from 1 species